rnacentral:rRNA from 1 species
UCCCUUAGAUGUUCUGGGCUGCACGCGUGCUACACUGAUAUUGCCAAUAUGUCAUUCUUAUCCGAAAUGGAUUGGGUAAUCAAGUAAUGAAAUUUCAUGCUUGGAAUCGGUAAUUGCAAUUUUAUCGUGAACGAGGAAUUCCUAGUAAGCACUAGUCAUCAGCUAAUGUUGAUUAUGUCCCUGCCCUUUGUACACACCGCCCGUCGCUACUACUGAUUGGGUGUUCAAGUGAGAUGCUUAGACCCUUGUUGCAUGGUUCAUUAUUGUGCUCCGAAAGGAAAAAGUUUCAAGCUUGAGUGUCUAGAGGAAGUAAAAGUCGUAACA